UACGUAGGGUGCGAGCGUUAAUCGGAAUUAUUGGGAGUAAAGUGUGCGAAGGCGGUUUUGAAAGUUAGACGUGAAAUCCCUCGGCUCAACCGGGGAACUGCGUCUGAUACUGGGCGGCUUGAAUUCGGGAGAGGGAUGCGGAAUUCCAGGUGUAGCGGUGAAAUGCGUAGAUAUCUGGAGGAACACCGGUGGCGAAGGCGGCAUCCUGGACCGAGAUUGACGCUGAGGCGCGAAAGCCAGGGGAGCAAACGGG
rnacentral:rRNA from 1 species